GCGAUGAAGUAAGAAGGGGAGACCUCUGUCAGGGGGACACAUCUCAGCUAUAGGACCUGAGACGGGCAGAUCUGGACUCAGUGGACUAAAAGCUCCUCUUAUUCCGAAUCUGAAGCCAGAACCUGGACCCGGGAGCCUCCUCUUCCUCCUGAAGAUGGACACAAACGCACCAGACCUCCUCCACACCCCCCACGCGCAGCCUCGGUGCUGAUGGUGUGGGAUUUAUGGAGCAGAACCACGCGGUUGCUCACCUGUUUGUUCGAAGCACAGCUGAACAGAAUCUGGAUGAUGGCGCACCGCGCGCACGUUUGGAUGUUUCAGUCCCGCAAACCAGGAACGCAUCUGAAAAAGUAACUGAGACUCACAGCAGCAUGGAGCCUGUUCCUGUCUUUGGUUAUCUAGCUGUAUGAGUGUGACUGUCCAUCAUAAAGCUAGAUAACCGAAAGUAGGAAUGACCCCCGAGACUUCAGCUGAGAAUCCUUUAAAAGUAAAUGUAUCGUGUUCAGGUAGGUUAUGACAUUUUCCUAAAUCAGAAAUAUUCAAGUAGUUUUUGUUUGUUUGUUUGUUUUGUUUUGAGUCUGUUGAGCAUUUUAAUUUUUCUGUUUGUUUCAAAUAAAAAUGUAAACAAAUAAAUGUUUAAAAACAGAUUAAACUGUAUGUUUUCUAAUAAGAUUGUCAAAUAAAUGUCUAUAAUUUUCAGGUUUUGUUUAGAAAAUAGAAAAAAACUGUAGAUUUUCUGGGCUCUUUGUUGUUUUUCCAUAAUCAGAACUUUUAUUUAUUUAUUAUUUAUUUAUUUACUUUGUAGAUUUACAGAACCUCAAAAAAAUAAAAAUUCUACUUCAAUGGUUGUUUAACAAUAAAUUAUUUUUUUCUUUUCGAGUUAAAUUAAUAAAAUAAAAACAACAAAGGUUAAAUUAAAACUAAGAUUAACUGAAGAAGACAACAUGUGUAAGUUAAAUGAUGUAUCAUAGUGCAAGAAGCAGAUGCAGGUCAAGUUUAAAGGUCAGAAGAACUCCAUAAAUUCAUCUGAAAACAUUUUAUUAAGAAUAAUAAAAUAUUGUAUAAUUUCUUCAACAAAAUUAUGAAAAAUGUAAAUGAUGGCCUGUGUCAAAAGGUGCAUUUUAUUUAUUUAUUUUUUCAAAAUAAGACCAAAAUGAAGGAUAUUACAAAUGAACAAGAUUGAUUUAAGUCUUGUCUGCAGUCAGCAUCUUUUAAACAAUAAACCAAAAUGAUAAUUAAACCUCAUAGGAGCCAUCUGCUAUUUAAAAAAUCUAUCUAUCUAUCUAUCUAUCUAUCUAUCUAUCUAUCUAUCUAUCUAUCUAUCUAUCUAUCUAUCUAUCUAUCUAUCUAUCUGUCUGUCUGUCUGUCUGUCUGUCUGUCUGUCUGUCUGUCUGUCUGUCUGUCUGUCUGUCUGUCUGUCUGUCUGUCUGUCUGUCUGUCUGUCUGUCUGCCAUGUUUUUGUCCUCUGGUGGGUAGGAAACUCCAGUGCUAGUGAGCCGCUAUCAAACACGUUUUAGGGGUUUCCCUGCUUAAACACACCUGAUUUUAAUCAGCUGGUGAUUAACAGGUUACUACUGCCUGAUGAGCUGCCGAACAGGUGAAUCAAUCGUGUUAAAGCAGGGAAACAACUAAACACGCUGGCUCUAGGGUUACCUAGGUGUGAUCUGACUCUUAUUAAAGUCAUAUUUCUGUGGCCUUUAAAAAUUCACUAAAACAACAAAAUUGAAACAAAUCAAUAUUUAGUCAUGCUGGAUCAUACAUCCUAAUGACAUUUUUGGUUUUUCACACCAGCAGAAUAAAAAAAGUUUAAAAUGUAAAGAAUAAAUACAAAAAAUUAAAUUAAAUUAAAUAGGCCAAACAAUGUUUUAUAAUAAGAUUGUUGAUUCAAUGUCUUGUAAUUUUGAGGUUUGGUUUAGAAAAUGUCAAAGUUUUUUUUAAAGUAAAAAAAUAAAAAUAAAAACAAAGAGCUAAAUUAUAUGUGAUUUUUUACAGAAGCACUAAUAAAAGCAAGUAAUAUUUCAAAGCUAAAUUUUUUAAAACAUAAUUCUAAUAGAUUAACUGUAACCUGUUUAAUACUAUAGCGGUCAAAAUAAUGCACAAAGAUUUUUGUGAAAAAUGUUUAUUUGUCUUUAUAUUAAAUCCCAUUAAAUGAAGAUAAAAGUAUGAAACAUAUAAAUUUCAACCAAUGUUUAACAAAACACGUCUGUAUCAUAUGUGGGGUUUGAUCAAAUCCAAUUAGAAAUUUAUCAAUCUUUAUUCUUGUGUAAAAGUUAUCAACCAAAGUAGUUAUUGUUUUAUUUUUAUGUAUGUUUCAGGUUUACCAUUGAUGGUAAAUGUGUAGAAAUUUGUUAUUUAAACAAUGAAGACUAAAAUAAGACAUUAAAUGAGUUAUAAAACAAUAAAAAUAACCUUUAUCAUCAAAGUUUAAAUAAACAAAUACAUAAUAAUAAUUAUAAAUAACAACAACAACAACAAUAAUAAUAAAACUUAUGUGUUUUGUUUUACAAAAUAAAUUAACUGGCUUCUAUUUCCAAUAAGAUUAUAAAUCUGAAGGUGGGCCAGCAGCAGGCCGACACCUUGUCAGACCUGCUGCCCAAACAUCUAGCUGACAUUUCUAUCAACAAAGAUGAAAGUCUCUAUUAUUCCACUUUAAACUGCAGCUUAGAGGCAGAUUUUAAACAAACCUGCAGCACAAAUGACUGCAGGAAUUACAGCUAGGCCUCUUCCAGCGCUCUGCGGUUCUCUCUGGCAUGACAAAAAACCAAGAGCGCUCGACUACAACGUCAAAUAAAGGAAACAGUCAUGCAACUCAAGCUGAUAAGGAGGCAGAGAUGGUGCAAUAUUACCAUAAUUACAUAGAAACUGGGAUGAGAGAGGGAGCUGCUGGGACUUAAAGGCACAGCAGCACAAAACCAGUCUGGGAGGAGAGAAGGCCUUCAGAAUCAAACACAUGAUUAGUUUGUGAUUUAAACAUGAAUCAAUAGAACCCUUGUGUAAACACGCAUGCUGAUAUAUCAGUGGCCUCUUUGAUUGAACAUUUCUGUAAAUAAAAACUUGUGAAUGUUUUAACUGUUCAAUGUAAACACCAAAGCUUGUGAGCAAAAGAAUAAAAACUAAAGUGCUUUCACUGA